UCGAGCGGUAGAGAGAAGCUUGCUUCUCUUGAGAGCGGCGGACGGGUGAGUAAUGCCUAGGAAUCUGCCUGGUAGUGGGGGAUAACGUUCGGAAACGGACGCUAAUACCGCAUACGUCCUACGGGAGAAAGCAGGGGACCUUCGGGCCUUGCGCUAUCAGAUGAGCCUAGGUCGGAUUAGCUAGUUGGUGAGGUAAUGGCUCACCAAGGCGACGAUCCGUAACUGGUCUGAGAGGAUGAUCAGUCACACUGGAACUGAGACACGGUCCAGACUCCUACGGGAGGCAGCAGUGGGGAAUAUUGGACAAUGGGCGAAAGCCUGAUCCAGCCAUGCCGCGUGUGUGAAGAAGGUCUUCGGAUUGUAAAGCACUUUAAGUUGGGAGGAAGGGCAUUAACCUAAUACGUUGGUGUCUUGACGUUACCGACAGAAUAAGCACCGGCUAACUCUGUGCCAGCAGCCGCGGUAAU
rnacentral:rRNA from 1 species